GGGGAGAGUCUCGUUUCAGCCUGGGUGUUAGAGUUGGCGCCUCACCUCGACAGUGAAGAAACAGGAAAUCAUAAUCGCAUUCUCUGGGAUCCAGCUCCUGCUUCCAGAGUCAUCCCUGACUCCAGGAAACCCAGCUCCUGCCCCUGCCAGUCACCACGGCUUGGACUCUGUUUUAGAAACCACUAAGGGGGAGUUAAGCAGGCAGGUGGCUCUGGAGAGACUUAGAGGAGGUUUGAUAAAGGACAGAUAUUUGAGAUCUUUCUAUGUCUGAGGAAGUAGAUGGUGACAGAAAUGGCUUCCCUGGUUUCCUUAGAUCAGGGGAAUGAGAGUCAGAACCCUGAUCGCCUUCCAGGGCACAGAGACCGGUGACUUCCUCCCAGGGGAUGUGUGUAUGGAGGUGUGYGCGAGGGUCAGAGUAGGGGAGAGGCAAGGGGGCUGCUGGGGACGCAGGUAAAGGGACUUUGUGGCUGAACAGGUUAAAGGCCUGGAGAGAAGGAAAUGGCCACAAUAUUCUCUGGUUAAAUAAUAAAAGCCAGCAGGAGAGCAGCUCGGGACCUCGGAGCCAGGACUGCAGAGAAGGAGAAUCUGAAGGGGGAGGUCUUCCUUCUGCCCCUCCCAGCCCCUCCAGUGCCCUGGUGUCCAGGACGCGGAGCUGAGCUACCGCCUCCAGAGCCUCUCCUCACCAUGAAUCCACUSAAGGACGCAGAAAAGGCUCAAGCCCUUAAAGGGACAUGAUGAGUAGGCCGAUCUGAUCGUUCCCAAGUAAGGAAGACYUGGUGGUCCUCAGCGGUUCAGCGGAGGGAGCUGUUUUUCCACCCCCAGCGAA